CAGCGUUUGUCCAUUUCACAAUGUGAGGAUACAGCAAGAAGUGUCAUCUUGGAAGCAGAGAGCAAACACUCAUCAGACAUUAAAUCUGACAGCACCUUGAUCCUGGACUUCCCAGCCUCUAGAAAUUGUAUGCAAUGGUAUGAGGAACUGUUCCACAUUAAAGGAGACUAAGAAGACAUAACAACUCGAUGCAAUGUGUGAUUCUGGACUGGAUCUUGCAUUGGAGGAGAAAAUGCUAUAAAAGGUUUACUGCCAUAUUUUGAAGAGAUAGAUAGCAUUUCCAGCUUCCACUCCUCUCAUUUUAAUGGGCAACAAGAAAAGGAACUACCAGGAGUAAGGUUCAAAUUUUAAUACACAGAAGAGGUGUAUCUAAAGGUUUAAUGAAAAUUGAAGGGUCAGAAGUACAUUCAUGUCCAGGGAUCACCAAUGAGGAAAUGUGCAGCAGAGCUGAUAAUAUUGUGUAGGAGAACAGACAAGGAACUCUUCUACUGAUGACCAAGGUGCUUCCCAACCACUGCCACUGUCUGCAUUCGAGUUUCGUUUUACCUCUGGACAUUUGCUUUGGCUGCUGCCACUUGGAAUGACUGCCACAGCUAAAUCGAGUGAUAUUUUUAACCCUAUGUGUUCAUGGAGGCACUCCAGCUACAAACCAAAGGAAAUCCCAAUUUAGAUUACUUGGAAUCAGUACUAUAAAAUUAUGCAGUUUGUGAAUAUAUUCUUGGUGUUUCACAGUUGACAACACUAUAUUCCCUUGAGUACCAAACUCACAGAAACCCCAUGGAAUGAUCUCUCUCUCCAAGUACAGUUUUUCUGGAAUCAGUAUGAGGUGUGAGACUAAUCAGACAAGGGCUUUAGCAAAUGUGCAUUUUUAAAAUAAACAGCCUAGAAAAAUUAUGGCAGUUCUUUUAUGGCCCAGAAUAACAUGUUUUCACUUAUCAGCUGCUUAACAGAGAAAUGAAUUGAUACAAAAA
rnacentral:lncRNA from 10 species